rnacentral:RNase_P_RNA from 1 species
GUUUUGUGUUGGGUAGUCGCUCCCAAUUUUGUUCAAACAAUUUUGGCAGAGGAAAGUCCGAACACUUGCUUUUUUAUAAAAUGCAGAAGGGUACAGGCUAACCGCCUGCCGUGGCAACACGAGAGGUGCGAACAGAAACGACCCGGUUAAGUCCGGCUGAAACGUGCUAAAUCCUUACCCAAGUGCAAGGCCGUGUCCCGCUUAGCGGGAAGUGCCGCUUGACCCGCCAGGUAACUGGCGAGGCAGAUAAAUGACUACCGCCCCGCUUAGCGGGGUACAGAAUUCGGCUUAUAGACACAAAACACCC